rnacentral:rRNA from 1 species
GACGAACGCUGGCGGCGUGCUUAACACAUGCAAGUCGAACGGAAAGGCCCUGCUUUUGUGGGGUGCUCGAGUGGCGAACGGGUGAGUAACACGUGAGUAACCUGCCCUUGACUUUGGGAUAACUUCAGGAAACUGGGGCUAAUACCGGAUAGGAGCUCCUGCUGCAUGGUGGGGGUUGGAAAGUUUCGGCGGUUGGGGAUGGACUCGCGGCUUAUCAGCUGGUUGGUGGGGUUGUGGCUUACCAAGGCUUUGACGGGUAGCCGGCCUGAGAGGGUGACCGGCCACAAGGGGACUGAGAGACGGCGCAGACGCCUACGGGAGGCAGCAGUGGGGAAUAUUGCACAAUGGGCGGAAGCCUGAUGCAGCAACGCCGCGUGCGGGAUGGCGGCCUUCGGGUGGUAAACCGCUUUCGCCUGUGACGAAGCGUGAGUGACGGUAAUGGGUAAAGAAGCACCGGCUAACUACGUG